UUCUAGAGCUAAUACAUGCCGAAAGCCUCAACUUUGGAAGGGGCGUAUUUAUUAGAUUAAAAGCCAAUGCCCUCCGGGGCUGACGGGUGAUUCAUAAUAACUCAACGAAUCGCAUGACCUUGCGUCGGCGAUGGUUCAUUCAAAUUUCUGCCCUAUCAACUUUCGAUGGUUGUUUAGUGGACAACCAUGGUGUCAACGGGUAACGGGGGAUUAGGGUUUGAUUCCGGAGAGGGAGCCUGAGAAACGGCUACCACAUCCAAGGAAGGCAGCAGGCGCGCAAAUUACCCAAUAGCGACACGCUGAGGUAGUGACAAUAAAUACUGAUCGGGGGCUCAUUUGGGCCUCCGAAUCGGAAUGAGUACAAUCUAAAUCCCUUAACGAGGAACAAUUGGAGGGCAAGUCUGGUGAACUGUCCAGUUCUAUGCUGGCGCCAGACAGAGUCAGGUGGUCCACCUACUGGCUAGUCGAGCAUUCUACAGCGGCAGGUGAAUGCCGGCGAGACAACCUGGAUCGGGGAAGGCUAAACUAACCCGGGGUGACGGUUGGGCCCCUGUUAGCAUGCUAAUCCCGAGCGGAACCUGCGCGAAGCGAUUCGUGCUGGUCCGUGUAGAGCACGCGAAGGUGUCGAUCUGUCCCGGACGGAGCAGAUUUGAGGGACGUGCCAAAUGUCCGAAAUGGACUGCUUGUCGCCUGAGUGCCUGUCUCACGAGGACGACAAGAGACCUGGACCACGAUCCGAUGCGGUUUCGGUGGUUCAGGCCGUGCAAUGGCCAGCAGCCGCGGUAAUUCCAGCUCCAAUAGCGUAUAUUAAAGUUGUUGCAGUUAAAAAGCUCGUAGUUGAAUUUUGGGUCUGGCUGUCCGGUCCGCCUCACCGCGUGUACUGGUUCGGCCGGACCUUUCCUUCUGGGGAGCCGCAUGCCCUUCACUGGGCGUGCCGGGGAACCAGGACUUUUACUUUGAAAAAAUUAGAGUGUUCAAAGCAGGCCUAUGCUCGAAUACAUUAGCAUGGAAUAAUAGAAUAGGACGUGCGUCCUCAUUUUGUUGGUUUCUGAGGGUGCCGUAAUGAUUAAUAGGGACAGUCGGGGGCGUCAGAAUUCAAUUGUCAGAGGUGAAAUUCUUGGAUUUAUUGAAGACUAACUACUGCGAAAGCAUUCGCCAAGGAUGUUUUCAUUAAUCAGUGAACGAAAGUUAGGGGAUCGAAGACGAUCAGAUACCGUCGUAGUCUUAACCAUAAACUAUGCCGACUAGGGAUCGGACGGUGUUAUUAUUUUGACCCGUUCGGCACCUUACGAGAAAUCAAAGUCUUUGGGUUCUGGGGGGAGUAUGGUCGCAAGGCUGAAACUUAAAGAAAUUGACGGAAAGGCACCACCAGGCGUGGAGCCUGCGGCUUAAUUUGACUCAACACGGGGAAACUCACCAGGUCCAGAUACGCUUAGGAUUGACAGAUUGAGAGCUCUUUCUUGAUCGCGUAGUUGGUGGUGCAUGGUAAGCGGCCCUUUCCUUUUUGUGCGCGGGAAACCUUGCUAAUUCGUUUUGACGUAGGCCGUUCUUAGUUGGUUAGUGCCUCCUAUGUUUUCACUCUCG
rnacentral:rRNA from 1 species